GACGAACGCUGGCGGCGUGCCUCAUACAUGCAAGUAGGACGCAGUUGCGAACGGGUGAUUAACGCGUAGGUAACUACCUAUUAGAGGGGGAUAACUAUUGGAAACGAUAGCUAAUACCGCCUACUAGUAGAUGGACCUGCGUUGUAUUAGCUAGUAGGUAGGGUAAUGUCAUACCUAGGCAACGAUACAUAGCCGACUGGUGAGGGUGAUCGGCCACACGGGGACUGAGACACGGCCCAGACUCAGACGGGAGGAAGCAUUAGAGAAUCUUCGGCAAUGGGAGGAACCCUGACAGAGCAACGCCGCGGGAGUGAAGAAGGUUUGCGGAGCGUAAAGCUCUGUGGUUAAGGAAGCGGUACUUAACCAGAAAGGGACGGCUAACUACGUGCCAGCAGCCGCGGUAAUUC
rnacentral:rRNA from 1 species